CUUGGCACUAAGAGCCGAUGAAAGACGUGAUAAGCUGCGAAAAGCUUCGGGGAGGAGCAAAUAUCCUUUGAUCCGGAGAUUUCUGAAUGGGGAAACCUACUUGAGCAAACCUCAAGUAUCCUAACGCCAAUACAUAACGUUAGGAAGGGAACCCGGUGAACUGAAACAUCUAAGUAGCCGGAGGAAGAGAAAACAACAUGUGAUUCUGUGAGUAGCGGCGAGCGAAAACGGAAGAGCCCAAACCAGCGUGCGUGCAUGCUGGGGUUCGGACCGCGGAAUUGAUUCAACAAGUUUAGCAGAACGGUUUUGGGAAAGCCGGCCAGAGAGGGUGAAAGCCCCGUAAGCGAAAGACGAGUUGACAUGGCGGGAUCCAGAGUACCACGAGACACGUGGAACCUUGUGGGAAGAUGCGGGGACCACCCCGUAAGGCUAAAUACUACUUAGUGACCGAUAGCGCAUAGUACUGUGAAGGAAAGGUGAAAAGGACCCCGGGAGGGGAGUGAAAAAGAACCUGAAACCAUAUGUUUACAAGCUGUGGAAGAGCUUAUAUGCUCAACCGCGUACUUUUUGUAGAACGGUCCGGCGAGUUACGCUGGCUGGCGAGGUUAAGGACUAAAGGUCCGGAGCCGAAGGGAAACCAAGUCUGAAUAGGGCGCAUAGUCAGUCGGAGUAGACCCGAAACCGGGUGAUCUAUCCAUGUCCAGGUUGAAGUUGCCGUAAAAGGCAAUGGAGGACCGAACCCACAUCCGUUGAAAAGGGUGGGGAUGAGGUGUGGAUAGGGGAGAAAUUCCAAUCGAACCCGGAGAUAGCUGGUUCUCCUCGAAAUAGCUUUAGGGCUAGCCUCAUACGAGUCUUGCGGAGGUAGAGCACUGAAUUCCUAAGGGGGCGUCAAAGCUUACUAAGGGAUAUCAAACUCCGAAUGCCGUGUAGAUGAUGUAUGGGAGUCAGACGAUCCGAGAUAAGUUGGGUGGUCAAAAGGGAAAGAGCCCAGACCAACAGCUAAGGCCCCAAAAUGUGUGUUAAGUGGAAAAGGAUGUGGGAUUUCGAAGACAACUAGGAUGUUGGCUCAGAAGCAGCCAUUCAUUCAAAGAGUGCGUAAUAGCUCACUAGUCGAGAGGUCCUGCGCCGAAAAUGUCCGGGGCUAAAACACACUGCCGAAGCUUUGGAAUUGAGAAUUCAAUUGGUAGAGGAGCAUUCUUAAAGGGACGAAGCAGUACCGUAAGGAGCUGUGGACUUUUAAGAAGAGAGAAUGCCGGAAUGAGUAGCGAGAGGAAGGUGGGAAUCCUUCCGGCCGAAUAUCUAAGGUUUCCAGAGUAAAGCUGAUCUGCUCUGGGUAAGUCGGGGCCUAAGGCGAGGUCGAAAGACGUAGUCGAUGGAUAACAGGUUGAAAUUCCUGUACUAUCCUGUAACAGAACUGUGGGGACACAGGCAGAGAGCGUGAGCCGGGAAUGGAAAGACCGGUACAAGCGAGGUAGGAGUUCAGUUGGCAAAUCCGCUGAACAAUCUGAAGACGUGAUGUGGACUGAAAAUAAGUAGGGAAGCACGUGAGCUGACUGUCAAGAAAAGCCGCUAUUGUUUGCAGGAUACCCGUACCGUAAACCGACACAGGUGGAUGAGGAGAGAAUCCUAAGGCCGACGGGAGAAGCAUUGUUAAGGAACUCGGCAAAAUGACUCCGUAACUUCGGGAGAAGGAGUGCCAGUAAGAUGGCCGCAGAGAAUUGGCCCAAGCAACUGUUUAGCAAAAACACAGGUCUAUGCAAAACCGAAAGGUGAGGUAUAUGCUGACGCCUGCCCGGUGCUGGAAGGUUAAGGGGAGAGGUUAGCGCAAGCGAAGCUUUGAACUUAAGCCCCAGUAAACGGCGGCCGUAACUAUAACGGUCCUAAGGUAGCGAAAUUCCUUGUCGGGUAAGUUCCGACCCGCACGAAAGGCGUAAUGAUUUGGGCACUGUCUCAACAAUGCACCCGGUGAAAUUGAAAUACCAGUGAAGAUGCUGGUUACCUGCGCCAGGACGGAAAGACCCCAUGGAGCUUUACUCCAGCUUGAUACUGGGAUUCGGUAUUGCAUGUACAGGAUAGGUGGGAG
rnacentral:rRNA from 1 species